CAGAUUUUUCUUGAAUUCGAGGAUAAUGAUGUUAUUACCAGCUGAUUAAGGAGGAGUAGUGUAAGUGUCAGAUGGGUACGAACGUCAUCUUGUGACAGCAUCACCUUUGUUUGGCUAAAGUACAAGAGAACUGCAGCAUCUAAGACUACAUGUACAUCGACUUUGAAUAAUCUACCCGGUAUAUCCUCAAAAAGGCAACUCAAAUACAGAAAGUGCAUAUAAUUUGGAAAAGAGACCAUCAAUCCACUGGGGGGUAUCGCAUGAAAGCAAUGAUUAUAGAAUAUUGUAAGGCUGGAGGAGUUAUAGUACAACAGG